AAAAAAGAAAAAAAAAAAAUUAACGCCAUCUCUUUGCUUCUCCUCCCACCUUCAUCGACUCAGUUUGCCCUGUUCCACAUACCCAAAAACCUCAAUCGAUUCAACUUACUCACAGAUUAGAAAAGAACCUCCAGUUAUCAAACAUCAUAGCUUCCCCACUUCCUCUUCUUCAAAGUCCAAUUUAAUGGCCACUACCUCAAAAAGUCAUUAACAGUUUCAGAAAUCAAAUCUAUAAAACCAGUACCCUCGCCGACCAUACAAACAUCUCUGUAUAUAUUAUGUUUGUCUCUCUUCCAUAAUCCUUCGGUGAUAUAUAUCCAUGCGUUUCUGUUUCAUUAGGUUCAGGUUCUCAAACUUAUCAUCACAAUGGGACAACAACAUUUGAUCGUCGCUCGUGUUACGGUGAUUCUCAGUUUCUCACCGACUAUACAAAAUACAAAGCGAAUUUUAUUUUCAUCGUUGCACCGUGCUUUCAGAAGCUUAUGCCUUCGAAUAAUAAGUUUUAAGUACAAUUGCGAUUUGGUUUCUCUUUUAGUUACCAUAGAAGUAUUAUUGUAUUCGCACAAUGGAUUUCUCCACGUGUAUAGAGUUACAGGCCGUUCUAAUAUGGUGAAUGUUUUUAUCUAGAUCUCUGUUUUUGGUCUUCUGAUUUGGCUGAGCUUCUAUACAUUAUGAUCAGUAGUGUACUGUUUAGUAUUUUUCACUGGCUAUAUUUUAUAUUUGUCCAUCGACAUGCCAAAAGGUAAUCUUUAUUGUGUUGUUGCUGUUGAAUCUGUUGGGAAGCAGGUUCCAAUGGCUUUCCUUGAGAGAGUUAAGGAGGAUUUUAGCAAGAAAUAUGGUGGUGGUAAGGCUACCACUGCUCAAGCCAACAGCUUGAACAGAGAGUUUGAGUACUUUAAGCUCUACCAUCAGAAUGUGGAAACAAAACCUUCCUUCUUUUAGUCUUUUGUGAAUAUGAUUUUUUACGAAUUUUGUUGUACCUUCAGGUCUAAACUUAAGAAGCACAUGUGGUACUUUGUGGAUCAUCCUGAAGAGAUCAGCAAACUUGCCAAGGUUAAGGCUCGAGGUGAAGGGUGUUAUGAUGGAGAACAUUGAGAAGGUCGUGGGGUUCAAGCCAUGACAUUCUUUUGGAGUGAUUUCUGAUCUGCACAUAAAGUGAGCAUUAUCUUUACCAAAUUUAAGCCUAACAACAAGUCUUUCAGGUUCGACAUUUUUCCUAUCCACAUAUUCUUGGUAAAAACCUAAGAAGAAUGGCUCCAUGGGUUUUAUUAUCUUCAAACAUUUCUGUUGAGUUAAGAUAACAAAUCUGACUCUUACUUUCUAUGACUAGCCCUUCAGUUUCUUACUAACCUGCUUUAAUUUCCGUUAAUGCAAAGAUAGAGAAAGAGAGAAAUAGAGAGACAUGGUUAAUUGAAAAGAUGUUUUUCCAGAAAACAAGAUAAGGAUCAAACUUGCAAUGGUUGGUAGACUGGUGAUCAAGAGUUUUCUAAUUGUUGGUUCAUAGAUAUCAAUUGUGAUUCAGAUGAAUGCGCAAGAAAUAAUAGUCACUGAGUUCCAUCCCAGAAAUGCUAUAUUACAUGUGUGAAGUAAAAAGUGUUUCAGAGUGGAAGCGACUGUAAGGUUUUCUCGGAACGAUCAUAGAUGUUUCUUUGGUCUGUGUCAACUCAAGACCACAGUGGUUGAUGCAAAGAAAGAGAGGGAGCUUAAACAUGGUUUAUCAACUAGGCAGCGCUCAAAUGCAUGAAUUUCCCCGGCAGUUUCAUACAUCAUAUUAUUAACGCAUUAUUCAUGUGUGAUCAAGGUAUGUCUAGAAAAGACAUAGGCAACUAGCAAGCAUGUGAGUCUUUUUUACCAGAUGGGUCUGAGAAUACACACAAUCUAAGACUAGAGCCUGAACUGAAGAAUCGAGAGGACAAGCAGAUAUGGUGGUGAGUGAGAAAUCAUCAGAAUAGAACAAAAUAAACGGAAUUAAGCAUCAAUAAGGUUAAAGAAUUCAUGACUACAGAUGGGAGUUGUGGUCAAAAAGGGAUUUCGAUAUGGUGUAGCUAAAAUGAUCAAAGCUACAAUUUACACCCAAAAUUGUAUAAAGCUAAAGAUAACAUAGAAAAACAAAUUCUAGCUGGAGAGAUGAUAAGGAUUGUUGGUAACACAAUGCAAAGAGAUUGACAAGAGAGAAGGAAAGUUCACAGAAAUGUAAGAAAAUAGUAAGAUAGUUUAUGCCGAAAGGUAUGUAAUUCAAAGACUAUCUGAAAGUUCAUAGAGAGAUUUAACAUCUUAUUUUGCAUAUUAUAAUCAUGAUUUAACAAUUGUAACAAUUAUAAUUCAAAGAUAUUGCGUAUGGAAAAUUUAUGUAACAA